ACUCAUUUUGGUAACAAAAAUGGAUAUUGGUACAAGAACUGAAACAAAACGAGCUCUUAGGAAUUGUGUUUUCGAGAAUUUCCAACGACGAAGAGCUCGAGAUAAAUUAUUAUUCUGUCAUAAUAUGUAUUUUAUGACAUGAUAUUUUUGGUUUCUGACUCACGACCUACUGUACAAGAAAAGGAAACUUCUUGUAAAAAAAAUUUGGUUCCAAGGCCGAAAGAGCUCUGGUCCUGUCAAAGAGGGAUACGUUCUUGAAAAUGAAGCGAAAAUUCUCAUGUUUUGGUGGAAGGAUUAAGAGUUUGACAAUACCGGAGGCUGUUUCCAGAGUGAUAAAAGUUCACAGGAAAAAUGCUUUUCCAAAAGUGUUUACAUAUCGACAUCUGUUAGGCUCGAUGGAUCAAAUCACAUCCGGACUUCGCUGGGGCUACAAAGACUAUUAGCCGUAUUUUGCCCAUUUAACUCAUCAAAAAUACCAUCUAAAAAGUUUUAAUCAUGGUUUAUCGAUAGAAACCACUUUGUGAUUGCAUAUUCUGGUGAAUUCAUUCGUUUGGUCUGACAAAAGUCCUUCAACAUUCAACAUCUAUUUUCUAAUCCUUUUUGACAUUUAAACAAGCAAGCAAUGGCAGAGGCUACAUCAUUGAGCACUUCAUCAGCAAACAGCCAACAGCUUUCAGAAUCACAAACAUGCAGGAAACGAUUGCCAGAAAUACCACCAGAGGAAUUGGCCAAAUAUGGAAGCAAGAAAAUUCCUCAUGAACUUCCUCCGGAGGUACAAGCAGAGUUUAGACGCCGUCAGUUUAGGAACAGUUUGCAUAAGAGAUCAAGGUCCUUGUCUGGAAUUGAGGGGAUUGAGUUUUAUAAAGAAGAAGAGACGACUUCUCAGUUAACUGAAGACACUGUUCAAGGUCAACAGAAGGAAAAUCUUGCUCCAUGUGCUAACAAUAAUGCAGUGUCCUUACCCAAUACUCCAGCAAGCAAAAGAAGAAGCAGUGAUAGUUCAAAACCAUUGUCCAAUGAGACAGAAGAUCAGGAAAUCUUAAAAGAGUUACGCUGGCAUUACAAGCAGUACCUCAAGGCUUCUAAGAGAAAAAAAGAAAAACAACCUGAGGGGAUUUCACAGUCUAAUGCCGGUAAGGUUGUCAGUGCAGUACAAGUGGUAUUAACUGAGGCUUCCCAAGAUUCCAGCCCACCAAUCAAAGCCAACAGAUGUGACAGAUGUAGCCAGUCAGUAGACAUCCUCCAGCGAGUGGCUGUAGAGAACCAUGUGUUUCACAAGAGCUGUUUUAUCUGUGCCAUCUGCAGCUCGUGGUUGAAUCACUUCAACUAUUGCUUCGUCCCUGACCAUGAUAAGUUUUAUUGUAUUCAACACUACCAGGAUAUUGAAAGUGCCUCGGCGGGACUUGAUGAUCAGAUACGGCAUGCUUUGGGUAUUGGUCCUGGAGUACAACAACAGUUUAACUAUGUACCAGAUUCUGUGGAUAGUAAGCCAAAGGCAGGUGGAGACAAAGCUUCCAGCAAAGCUCAAAACACUUUGAAUGUCAUGAAAGAAAAGAUUUCCCUUCUUAGCAAGCGAGGGAGAAAGCUCGAGAAGAAAAGUAAAAAACUACGAAAACAAAUAGAUGGAUUCAAAGGGAAUGAAAUGGAGAAAGGAAAGCUGUGGGAAGAAUGGUUUGAGAAUGAACGUGAGAAGUAUACCACUUUCAGAAGGGAGGCAGAAUUAACUUUUAAGGUGCGAGAGACAGAGUUGUCAGAGAAGUAUCACGAUCUGGAGAAGAAGCUACGUUCUAUCACUGAAAAAAACAGAGAACAGCAAGACCGAGUAUGAUAAAUCCAACGAGAAAGAACUGUUGCAGGAAAUGCUUGUCGUGGUCGAAAAGAGAGAGCACUUGAUCUCAGAAAUGGAAGCAGCUCAACACAAAUACAACGAAGAAGACAAACAGCUCGAAAAGCAAAAAGACGACAUUG
rnacentral:misc_RNA from 1 species